rnacentral:rRNA from 1 species
GGAGUUAAUACCGCAUAAACUUCGGGAGGUGAAAUUCCUUGUGAUCAAAGGAGCAAUUCGCUUGAGGAGGGAGUCGCGUCUGAUUAGCUAGUUGGUGAGGUAACGGCCCACCAAGGCGAUGAUCAGUAGCCGGCCUGAGAGGGCGCACGGCCACACUGGAACUGAAACACGGUCCAGACUCCUACGGGAGGCAGCAGUGGGGAAUUUUGCGCAAUGGGGGAAACCCUGACGCAGCAACGCCGCGUGGAGGAUGAAGUCCUUUGGGAUGUAAACUCCUUUCGACCGGGAAGAUAAUGACGGUACCGGAGGAAGAAGCAC